rnacentral:rRNA from 1 species
GAUGAACGCUGGCGGCGUGCCUAAUACAUGCAAGUAGAACGCUGAAGCUUGGUGCUUGCACCGAGCGGAUGAGUUGCGAACGGGUGAGUAACGCGUAGGUAACCUGCCUCUUAGCGGGGGAUAACUAUUGGAAACGAUAGCUAAUACCGCAUAAAAGUCGAUAUCGCAUGAUAUUGAUUUGAAAGGUGCAAAUGCAUCACUAAGAGAUGGACCUGCGUUGUAUUAGCUAGUUGGUGAGGUAACGGCUCACCAAGGCGACGAUACAUAGCCGACCUGAGAGGGUGAUCGGCCACACUGGGACUGAGACACGGCCCAGACUCCUACGGGAGGCAGCAGUAGGGAAUCUUCGGCAAUGGGGGCAACCCUGACCGAGCAACGCCGCGUGAGUGAAGAAGGUUUUCGGAUCGCAAAGCUCUGUUGUAAGAGAAGAACGAGUGUGAGAGUGGAAAGUUCACACUGUGACGGUAACUUACCAGAAAGGGACGGCUAACUACGUG